rnacentral:rRNA from 1 species
GGCGGACGGGUGAGUAACACGUGAAAAUCUGCCUUUUGGUCGGGGAUAACAGUUGGAAACGACUGCUAAUACCGGAUGAGCUGAGAAGUAAAAGAUUUAUUGCCAAAAGAAGAGUUCGCGCCUGAUUAGCUAGAUGGUGGGGUAAGAGCUUACCAUGGCGACGAUCAGUAGCUGGUCUGAGAGGAUGAGCAGCCACACUGGGACUGAGACACGGCCCAGAUUCCUACGGGAGGCAGCAGUGAGGAAUUUUCCGCAAUGGGCGAAAGCCUGACGGAGCAAUACCGCGUGAGGGAGGAAGGUUUUUGGAUCGUAAACCUCAAAACUUAGGGAAGAAAAAAAUGACGGUACCUAAUAUAAGCAUCGGCUAACUCCGUGCCAGCAGCCGCGGUAAUACGGAGGAUGCAAGCGUUAUCCGGAAUUAUUGGGCGUAAAGAGUCUGUAGGUGGCACUUCAAGUCUGCUGUCAAAGACCGAAGCUUAACUUCGGAAAGGCGGUGGAAACUGAAGAGCUAGAGUAAAGCAGGGGUAGAGGGAAUUCCCAGUGUAGCGGUGAAAUGCGUAGAGAUUGGGAAGAACACCAGUGGCGAAGGCGCUCUACUGGGCUUAAACUGACACUGAGAGACGAAAGCUAGGGUAGCGAAAGGGAUUAGAUACCCCUGUAGUCCUAGCGGUAAACGAUGGAUACUAGGCGUAGACCUGUAAUGGGGUUGUGUCGAAGCAAACGCGUUAAGUAUCCCGCCUGGGGAGUACGCACGCAAGUGUGAAACUCAAAGGAAUUGACGGGGACCCGCACAAGCGGUGGAGUAUGUGGUUUAAUUCGAUGCAACGCGAAGAACCUUACCAAGGCUUGACAUCCCGCAGAGUUUUCAGAGAAGAGAAUGUGCCUUAGGGAAUGCGGAGACAGGUGGUGCAUGGCUGUCGUCAGCUCGUGUCGUGAGAUGUUGGGUUAAGUCCCGCAACGAGCGCAACCCUCGUCCUUAGUUGCCAGCAUUAAGUUGGGGACUCUAGGGAGACCGCCGGGGAAAACUCGGAGGAAGGUGUGGAUGACGUCAAGUCAGCAUGCCCCUUAUGUCUUGGGCUACACACGUACUACAAUGGUUGGGACAAAGGGAAGCGAACUCGCAAGAGGGAGAGAACCCCAUCAAACCCUGCCUCAGUUCAGAUUGCAGGCUGAAACUCGCCUGCAUGAAGGAGGAAUCGCUAGUAAUCGCAGGUCAGCAUACUGCGGUGAAUCCGUUCCCGGGUCUUGUACACACCGCCCGUCACACCAUGGAAGUUGGUCACGCCCGAAGUCGUUAUUCAACCGUUGAGGAGAAAGAC